GACCUAAACUCACUUUGUGGGCAUGGUCGUAAAUACGAACAAACAUAGAGAUGGCUCUCUCGUCUUUGGUAUGUUUGUUCGUCAAUAGCUGAAAGGUUAUUGGAUCCCGCAAGGGGUC
rnacentral:sRNA from 1 species